rnacentral:tRNA from 1 species
GCGGGAGUAGUUCAACGGUAGAGCGCCAGCUUCCCAAGCUGGACGUUGCGGGUUCAAGUCCCGUCUUCCGCUCCA